rnacentral:rRNA from 1 species
GACGGAGGGAGCAAGCGUUGCUCGGAAUAAUUGGGCGUAAAGGGUGCGUAGGCGGUUUUUUAAGUCAAGUGUUAAAGAUCGGGACUCAAUCUCGAGAGUGCAUUUGAUACUGAAAAACUUGAGUGUGGAAGAGGAAACGGGAAUUUCUCAUGUAGAGGUGAAAUUCGUAGAUAUGAGAAGGAACACCAAAGGCGAAGGCAAGUUUCUGGGACACCACUGACGCUGAGGCACGAAAGCGUGGGGAGCAAACAGG